AUUGGAGUCCACGUGAAGAGCAUCUUUUGUCAAGAGUGGAAGCCUGGUGGUGAAGACAAGGAGAUCGACUUGUCACAGACAGAGCACAGCAGAGAGUAGAAACAGAUGGAGGUUGACAUCGCAAACAGAUCAACCACUCAACAAACAGCCUCGAAAGCAUUGACAUCCGUCAAACCUCAAGCCAUUCUCAACGACAAGAAAUCACCAGGUCUACGGAAGGGAGUACAUUGAAGAAACGGGUGCCAACUCCUUAUUCCAAGGUGAUUGAAGACAAGGGUGCUAAUCAGCAACGUAGACAAGCGGCACUUGCCUAUCGUUCAUGUAGUCCUGACCUGCCAGUUCAAGGUAAGAUGGCAAACGUAGCAAUUAGGCAAUGAAUUGAAUAGGUUAUGCAUCUAGUGGACAAAUAACAGAUGGUUG